CCAGUCGACCGAACAACCAAUCAAAGCAUAAUAUGCUAAUGUUAUGGUAAGGCUGCUCAAUCACUCGCUAUGGCAUGCACUGACCACCAGGGGGCAGACAAUCAACUGCUCUGACCAGUAGGUUAGCUUGCU